rnacentral:rRNA from 1 species
GGAAGAGCCCAAACCAACAAGCUUGCUUGUUGGGGUUGUAGGACUCCAAUAUGGUAGUCUGUUAGUAUAGUUGAAGGAUUUGGAAAAUUCCGCUAAAGAGGGUGAAAGCCCCGUAGACGAAAUGCUGACAACACCUAGGAGGAUCCUGAGUACGGCGGAACACGAGAAAUUCCGUCGGAAUCCGCGGGGACCAUCCCGCAAGGCUAAAUACUCCCUAGUGACCGAUAGUGAACCAGUACCGUGAGGGAAAGGUG